GACGGAAGGUGCAAGCGUUGUUCGGAAUUACUGGGCGUAAAGGGCUCGUAGGUGGCCAACUAAGUCGGACGUGAAAUCCCUCAGCUUAACUGGGGAACUGCGUCCGAUACUGGAUGGCUCGAGUUUGGGAGAGGGAUGCGGAAUUCCAGGUGUAGCGGUGAAAUGCGUAGAUAUCUGGAGGAACACCGGUGGCGAAGGCGGCAUCCUGGACCAACACUGACACUGAGGAGCGAAAGCCAGGGGAGCAAACGGG
rnacentral:rRNA from 1 species